rnacentral:lncRNA from 1 species
AGGAGGGGCGCUGCAGCCAAGCCACCAGCCUAGCUGUAGAGUGCUGUACUCCACAUACUCCUGGAGAUCCAGCCCCGCAGAUCGCGCAUCCCUGCCGCCGUUCGCCUUUAGGCAUCCUAAACUUGAGCGGCAGCUCGGUUUCAACCGAUCGACUGCUUGCUUCAAAUCAGACAGCAUUGCGACCCAGACACCGGAGUCCGCCGAGUGAAAGCACAACGCAGAGUAGGACAAGACCAAGAAAACAGCCACGCGAAGCAGCAACUCUAGGUUGGGAGUGCAGAAGCCAACAAACCUUCUUCGGUUGCGCUGGGCUUCCUUUUAUCCGGGUAGGAGCCACAUCCCUGGGGAAUAUGCAGCGCGCGUGGAUCCUGCUCACCUUGGGCUUGAUGGCCUGUGUGUCCUCAGAGACGGGAACACCAGUUGCUACUAGCAAAGAAGGAGAAUGUUCACAGAAGAGGAAUGAGUGGAAAGAAGGUUUGAUACCACUGGGUAAAAUGAUUGUGAGAAAAGAAAUUUCAUAUAUGGGGAACAACACACACAACCUGGAAGCAUGACAGAAACUUGCCUUAUUUGGAAAAUUUAUAGGGAAUUUGCACUGUGGUACCAAGGAAUGGUGAAAGAUGCAGGAAAUGAAAAGCAAGAAGUGGGCAAUUUAUAAGUCUUAAAGUUCUAAGGAGACCAUGCUGUUGUCUGCCACACCCACUCCAGUGAAUUCUGUGUGUGAAGCUUGGCCACAGUCCUGAGGCAAAAAGUUUCACAGAAACUUGUCUGCUGGAGAGUCUCUGGUGCCCCAUAACCAGAUUUGUCCCUAAGAUAGGGUGGAGGGUCUUUCAUGCUUUCUUAGAGUAUUUUACUAGAUAAGAGCUAAAAAAUCUCAGGGCAAGUUCUACAAAGAAAACUUAGAAUUACAGCCGAGGCACUCCCAUAUGCAGGAAUUUACAAUGGCCUAAGAAGAAGGAGGGUUGUGGCUUAAGGAGGAACUACAGUAUUACAUUAUUCAUGAGCAAGAGCAGAACCCCCUGGUGCAAGCUUUCAAAAGGCUCAGAGGAAUAGCAUAAAUUGUGACUAGAGUGUGAAAUCCUCACCUGGCUCCCUAAUGGCUAACUUUAGAAAGGGCUGCCUUUUAUCUCAGUUGUAACCACUGCCUGGUUCCUGCUAGUAUUUAUGUAUGCAUUUCUCUGUUUUUUGCAAGAUAAUAUCAAUGUACCUUGGCUGAUGUGUCACCUAACUUCUUUGUUUUCUUCUGUAAUAUAAGUCUGAUGCUCACUUUGAGAAAUUACAUUCAGAUAGUGUA